ensembl:lncRNA
GUAAGUUGCAGACACUUUGUUCUGAUAGGUUUAAAUUGCUGCCCUUCAAAGAGCAGGGUAGGGUUUUUACAGCAGCGGUGGGUUAUGGGAGUCUGAGGCCACAGACACGCUCUGCAGUGGUCGUUUCUGAGGGUGUGGGUUUGGUGGGUCCGCCCGGGCCGCUUCUUCCGUCGGUCUGCGGCGAGUCAGUCUGAAACAGUUCGCGUCUAUCCGGCGGCAUUGAGUCUUGGUCCUUCGCCGGAGUGUCAGGCUCAGGGGUCCCAGCCAGUGAGGGUGACAGUUUGGAUUGGCCUCGGGAGCGCAGCCUGGCCCGUCCCUGAAUCCCAGUAUUGGGUUCUGGGUGUCCCAAAAUCCCGCGUGAUGGUGAAGGCGCUGGGGCUCGGGUAGGACUGGCUCGGAAUUUCAUCUUGGCCGAUCUCCUCGGUGGAGAUGCACACCCUCGCUGAACCUCGCGGGUAGAGGGCCGUGGCGUGGGAUUGUUCACAUUCGUGCAGUAGAGUUUUUAGCCGUUAAUGAAGGGUCUCUGCCUCCGUUAUUCGGAGUCUUUCCCUGCAUCAGGGUCUUUGCCAACAAGUCAGCUGUUCACAUCAGGUGGCCAAAGUAUUGGAGCUUCAGCUUCACCAUCAGUCCUUCCAGAGACCCUGGUUUGAUUCCUAGGUUGGAAAGCUCCAUUGGAGAAGGGAUAGACUACCCAUUCCCAGUAUUCUAGGGCUUCCAUGGUGACUCAGCUGGAUUGACUGGUUGGAUCUCCUUGCAGUCCAAGGGACUUUGAAGAGUCUUCUCCAGCACCACAGUUCGAAAGCAUCACUUUUUCGGCACUCAGCCUUCUUUAUGGUGCAGUCC